UUGGUAACUUUACCAAGGAACAGGUAAAACUCUUUUGUUUGAAAAAUAUGAUUGAUUAUUCCUUGGAGUCCACCGAAGAAUUUAUUUCAGUGGAGUUGAGCUUUACAACAAGAGAAAAUGGGAUGCAAGCAGCUUUCCAAUUGCUUCAUAUGUUACUUGAGCAAAGUGUUUGGUUAGAAGAUGCAUUUGAUAGAGCAAGGCAGUUACACUU